UUUGUGGAGUAUUUUUAGUAAGAGUCCUCCUGGUUUAGUGGGCUGGGUUCGGUUUUGGUUUUGUUUAUGGUUGUGUGUCGGUCGGUCGGUCGGUUCGGUCCCUCGUUUUUUUAGGGGGGGUGGGAGGGACGUUAUCGUUUGUGCGCCUUUUUUUACCUCCGUACUUGUGCGGGAGGAGGAGGAGGAGGGGGAGGAGGCAGGGGCGGAGGGGGCUAGGGCAGCUGUCGGGUCGCCGGGGCGGGGGGACGAGGGCCGCCCUUGGAUCGGGGUGCCGCCGCAUCCGCACGGUCCCCUUCGCCGCGCGUCGCUGCUACGGCAGCGUGAGCCUAGACCUGGCCGUCUAGAGCGUCGACGCCCUGACGUUCAAGGACGGCCUGCGGCUCCAGUUCCGGGAGACGCUCGUCCGGUUCCGCUAGGAGUACCUCCUCACCUUGCACGUCGGGCACGCGACGGGGCAGUGGCAGACGCCGCUGUAGGUGCCGGUCAAGAUGCUGGAGUAGCUCGAGAAGGCGUAGCCCCCGCUGUGGGGGCUGUGUUUGAUGGAAAAGUACCCGCUGAUGCAGCUGGCACCGAUGAUAAGUCACCUCUGACAAAGUAAUAAUCACCGAGAGUUUCAAGCAAUAUCUCUGUCUUAGUGUUAGAACUCUCCUUUAGUGCUCUCGGCUGUUUAGUGAGUUCACAUACCGAAGAUACUACUUACGAAUGCCUUCAUGCCUUUACGUUUACAGACCUUCAUGAAGUGUCUAAACAAACUAAUAAACGGAGAGUGUCGAGAAUAUCUUUUGGUCCACAAAACGGAGGUACCACCAGAGAGAGGUAGUAAUCUAUGUAACCUGUUAUAAGCAAGAGAACUAGCGUAUGUUCUCCAGGGCGUACUUCCUGGAUACACACUAGAAAACACCAGACUAGGCCUACUGGCUACGCCCACCCCUUAAAGUGGUUCUCCUCGUCCGAUGUGUAAACCUGUUCUAUAUCGUGUUGUUAAAUUGGUAUGUUUACCAGAAUCGGAAUAAAGUUCCCGGGUAGUUGAACACUACCUUCCCAAGUUAACCCGUGUCCUCUUCUUACAACAGUGUCAAAAGUCACGCGGUUUGAUGACAAUGGCCACACCAUUGUACCGACGCUAAGAGCUUUAACCCCUCUUGUACCUAGUCUUGAAGGAGGUUAAGCUAGGUCGCGGCGCCGUUUAGCUCGGUCUGUGUUGCGCGUUCUGGGGGCUGAUGAAAAACAUUAGCACCUCAACUGAAAAAAAAUUGAGAACACGACGACCACGAGGAGAGUAGGCGUCGUGACGGACCGACCUAGACAUCUAGAGACAGGAAUCUUUUACCCUAAGGAACUCGACUCAACACAUGGGGGGAGAGUAAGAAAACAAACCUCUAAAACCAACGGCGAAGAGUCCUGGAGUAUCCUGUACAAUUUUCAUGUAACGUAACCAUAAAAAAAACAUAGAGGUAAAACAUAAUAAAGGCUCUGUCUCUUCCCUUCGACGUUAUCUUAGCAGAGCAUUGUAUAAAGUACGAGAAGAAGUCUUCUUGAGGGAAUAAAGUCCCUACAACACAACAGACAAGCGACUCUAGUGGUACGGUCGUGGAUGUCAUUCUACGUAACGGGCAGUUUCUUUUUGACCUUGCAGACACUCAGGAAAACCUCUCGGGAAACAAAACUUCCUCCCCUUUAUUUACGUCCGAUAGAGGUGUUCAAACGGAGGCUUUCUUUUGCCUCUUUGUGGCAAUUUUCCGACGUGUUGCUACGUCCUCAACCCACCUACUACUUCCGGCUAACUUCACGCGGUAAGUGCUGAGGAAAAUUCAGGGAUGAUACCAGAAAAUCGGUUCCAUUUUAUCAUGAGGGAGUCAUUUUAUUAUAUUCUCGUAAAUCUAGUAGUUUCAUCACUAGAUUUGAAAAAUAUAAAGAAAUGCUUCCCUCAUGUUCUGUAAGAGUUUACACGACUAUGUUUCCAUCUGUGUGUCUACUUACGUAAAGAAACACUUAUGAGCUCUCUUCUUCAUUUUCUACGGGAACUACAUUACCCUCUAAACUUCUCUGACCCCGUAAUAAGAUGUUUUUCACAACCACUCUUCCACUACAUUUACAAGAUUCACGGGGAAACUAAGUUUCCUAAAACUUUCCUUAAAAAAUCCUAAGAUUA
rnacentral:rRNA from 1 species